GACGGGGGGUGCAAGCGUUAACCGGAAUUACUGGGCGUAAGGCGCACGCAGGCGGUCUGUCAAGUCGGAUGUGAAAUCCCCGGGCUCAACCUGGGAACUGCAUCCGAAACUGGCAGGCUUGAGUCUCGUAGAGGGGGGUAGAAUUCCAGGUGUAGCGGUGAAAUGCGUAGAGAUCUGGAGGAAUACCGGUGGCGAAGGCGGCCCCCUGGACGAAGACUGACGCUCAGGUGCGAAAGCGUGGGGAGCAAACAGG
rnacentral:rRNA from 1 species